AGUCACUUUGUCUUUAUGGCAAAUGUGAGAUGCAGUGUAUGGAAUGUCAAAUUUCUAAUAUGAGAAAUUAACGAUUUAAGUCCUUCUUAAAUGAGGCCAUUUACCCAAAGAGGGUGCCAGGCCCGUAUAACGUUAAUGAUUAUUAGAUGGCAUUUCCAAAGAGUCGUGUUGCUUGAUAGUGCAGCACUAAGUGGGUGGUAAACUCCAUCUAAAACUAAAUAUAACCAUGAGACCGAUAGUAAACAAGUACCGUGAGGGAAAGUUGAAAAGAACUCUGAAUAGAGAGUUAAAUAGUACGUGAAACUGCUUAGAGGUUAAGCCCGAUGAACCUGAAUAUCCGUUAUGGAAAAUUCAUCAUUAUGAUUUUAAUAUUUAUAAUAUUAUAAUAAUGGUGUGCAUUUUUUCUAUAAAGGACAUUGUAAUCUAUUAACAUAAAUAAAUUUAUCAUAAGAUCAUUUGCGUAAGUUUAUUCAAAUUAUUUUGCUUGCAUUUUAAUAUCGAAUAAAUGCUUUUGAUUUGAUAAAGUGUUGAUAGAUUUAUUAUAUACAGUGCUUAAAUAUUUAUAUUUUAUAAUAGCAUAUUAAUCAAUGAUUUUUAUGUUCAUUAUAUGCACUUGUAUGAUUAACAAUGCGAAAGAUUCAGGAUACCUUCGGGACCCGUCUUGAAACACGGACCAAGGAGUCUAACAUAUUUGCAAGUUAUUGGGAAUAAAAACCUAAUAGCGAAAUUAACAUAACUUUAUUUAAUGGGAUUAGUUUUUAGCCUAUUUAUAGUCUAUUAAUUCAAUCCCGGGGCGUUCUAUACAGUUAUGUAUAAUAAUAUUUAUAUUAUUUAUACCUCUAACUAGAGCGUACCUUGAGCAUAUAUGCUGUGACCCGAAAGAUGGUGAACUAUACUUGAUCAGGUUGAAGUCAGGGGAAACCCUGAUGGAAGACCGAAACAGUUCUGACGUGCAAAUCGAUUGUCAGAAUUGAGUAUAGGGGCGAAAGACCAAUCGA
rnacentral:rRNA from 1 species